ACUACGAACGGGUGGAGCCUGCGGUUUAAUUGGAUUCAACGCCGGAAAUCUCACCGGGGCGACAGCAAUAUGAAGGUCAGGCUGAAGACCUUACCCGAUUAGCUGAGAGGUGGUGCAUGGCCGUCGUCAGUUCGUACUGUGAAGCAUCCUGUUAAGUCAGGCAACGAGCGAGACCCACGUCCACAGUUGCCAGCAUACCCUCCGGGGUGAUGGGUACACUGUGGAGACCGCCGCUGCUAAAGCGGAGGAAGGAGUGGGCAACGGUAGGUCAGUAUGCCCCGAAUCUCCCGGGCUACACGCGGGCUACAAUGGUUGGUACAAUGGGCAUCUACCCCGAAAGGGGAAGGAAAUCUCUUAAAGCCAAUCGUAGUUCGGAUUGAGGGCUGCAACUCGCCCUCAUGAAGCUGGAAUCCGUAGUAAUCGCGUUUCAACAGAACGCGGUGAAUACGUCCCUGCUCCUU
rnacentral:rRNA from 1 species